UUGACCUCGGAUCAGGUAGGGAUACCCGCUGAACUUAAGCAUAUCAAUAAGCGGAGGAAAAGAAACCAACAGGGAUUGCCCCAGUAACGGCGAGUGAAGCGGCAAGAGCUCAAAUUUGAAAGCUGGCUCCUUCGGGGUCCGCAUUGUAAUUUGUAGAGGAUGCUUCGGGAGCGGUCCCCAUCUAAGUGCCCUGGAACGGGACGUCAUAGAGGGUGAGAAUCCCGUAUGGGAUGGGGUGUCCGCGCCCGUGUGAAGCUCCUUCGACGAGUCGAGUUGUUUGGGAAUGCAGCUCUAAAUGGGUGGUAAAUUUCAUCUAAAGCUAAAUAUUGGCCGGAGACCGAUAGCGCACAAGUAGAGUGAUCGAAAGAUGAAAAGCACUUUGAAAAGAGAGUUAAAAAGCACGUGAAAUUGUUGAAAGGGAAGCGCUUGCGACCAGACUCGCUCGCGGGGUUCAGCCGGCAUUCGUGCCGGUGUACUUCCCCGCGGGCGGGCCAGCGUCGGUUUGGGCGGUCGGUCAAAGGCCCUCGGAAGGUAACGCCCCUAGGGGCGUCUUAUAGCCGAGGGUGCAAUGCGACCUGCCUAGACCGAGGAACGCGCUUCGGCUCGGACGCUGGCAUAAUGGUCGUAAACGACC
rnacentral:rRNA from 2 species